GCCUUAGGUAGUAUGGACAUUUUAAUGAUAUUUGUUCUUCCAAUCCAUGAGCAUGGUAUACCUUUCCGUUUGUUUGUGUCAUCUUCAGUUUUUUUCAUCAGUGUUUUAUAGUUUUCAGAGUAGAGGUCUUUUUCCUCCUUGUUUAAGUUUAUUGCUAGAUUUUUUUAUCCUUUUUGGUGCAAUUGCAAAUGGGGUUGCUUUCUUAAUUUCUCUUUCUGUUGUUUUAUUAUUAGUAUAGAAAUGCAGUGGAUUUCUGUACAUUGAUUUUGUAUCCUGCGAUCUUACCGAAUGUUAAAUUUAUACAUGGAAAUUGUUUGAAGAAAAGAGAAGCAGAGCAAGAUAGAGGAGAAUGAGAGUGUUAUGAAGCAAAUUGAGGUGUUAAACACUUAGCCAGGUAGGUCUCAUGGAGGGGAUAUGGAGACAGACUUAGAGGAGGGGAGGGAGGGAACCUUGUGGAGAUCUUGGGAAAGAAUACUCUAGCCAGAAGGAAUAGCCAGUACAAAGGCACUUUGACAGGAAGGUGUACUCAGCAUGUCUGAUGAGUACCAAGAGUCUGGUAUGGCUGGAUGUAAUAAGCAAGGGACAAAGUAGCAAGUGUGAGGUCAGAGAAGUAACAUAGUGUAAGGAUAAUGGUUUAAUCCAGAGAAUCAGGGUUCUAUCUAUAUUUAAUUUUUAACAUGAUAAAAUAAUGUGUACUGCAGCACUGUGAGACAUAAGUGAAAUUAGAAAACCUUAUUUGUCUAAUCCUAACCUGUGUAAAUACCUAUGCUUUCUUUGGAAACUUCUGAAGCAUCUUUUUCAAUGUUGUCUUUCUGAGCCACUUUUACUUUACUUUCCAUCUGGGAUUUAGGUGUUCUGCAUCUUCAGAGCUACUUCCCUUCCUCUUCCCUUUUCUGACUGAAGGUAAACUGGAUAUUUCAGCUUUUUCCCAUUUUUUUUUCUUUUCCUUUGAGAGUGGCUUUUAGGGUUUAGCAAUCUGUACUUCAGAGCCCUCAGAUGUGGUCCUGGAUCUUCUCAUUUUACAGAUGCUCCCCUUGCUUGUGCCCAUUGGCUCUUUUUGAUCUGGAUAUUGUCUUCUUUCUUCAUUCUGCCUUUCUGCUUUUUCUUUUUUCUGUAACUUCUUUUUCUAUUCUUCUGUAACAAUGCUAUGAUUAGUUUUUAUUUCACUUCAACGACAUCUACGUGCAUUUUAAUGUUAAAUAAUGUGCCAACCACUAUAAGGGCACGAAUGAGCUUAUUUUUUUAUAGUCUCAGGAAAUAAACCAGGUUUUCUUGGUGCUUCCUCUGGUAGGUUGUUCAGAAACUGAAAUAAAAUCAGUAAAAAAAAAAAAAAAGUUGGUUACUAUAUGAAACACUUCAAAUUUUCCUUGCUUUUCUUUAUAAGUUCUGGAUCUACCUCAAUAUUUUGCUGCUUGUUCUUUUGUUUCAAAUUCCACAAAGGCAGAUCCCUUUGGAUUUCCAGUAGACUUAUAAUGUGGUAGACUUCUAUAAAAAGACAUGGCCACAUUUUCCAGAUACUCUUUCAAUCCAGCUGUGAUUUUGGGAAGUAACUCCUAUAUGUUUAACUUCUAAGUAAGAAUUGCUUACAUAUUUACUUGGAAUGUUAAAAAAAAAAAAAAAAAGAGUCCUCUUUCUUCCCUGAGCAACUGGAAGGAUUGAGGUCAAGAAGGUUCCAGAGGAACAGAUUUGGGGGAAGGUCAGGAGGUCAGUUGUGAACACAUUGACUUUGAGAUGCUUAUUCCACUUUCAGAUGGAGAUGUUGGGUAAGCAGCUGGAGAGUCUGCUUGGAGUUUAGGGAAGAGGCUGGACAUAACACACAUCUGAGAGGCUGUCGCAUAUUGAUGGCAUUUAGACUUGAGAGUGGAGAGGAGCACCAAGUAUGUCAGUAUUAGCAACAAGAAGAAGACCGAUAACUUAGCUCACGAGUUUUACAAAAUUUUACUGCAAAGUGGAAUAACUUCUGAAAGUUUUUUCAUUUGAUGACUCCACUGUGACACACCCACACCACCUACCUUCAGCCCUCUGCAGUCUGGAUUCCAUACCCAGUACUCUGGUGAGUUCUCUAAAGAUCUCCAUUCAUGUUCUAGAUUUGAAGGAAACAUCUUAGUCCCAUCUGGCUUUAGCUCUUAGUAUUUACCACUGCAGACCACUCUGGCCUUCUUAACUCCUAUCCUUUCUUGCUCCUGCAACAUUGCACAUCCAUGAAUAGCCUCCCACCUCCCUAGCUGCUCCUUCUCAGUCUUCUUUACCUGUUCCUUAAAUAUUGAUAUUUGACUUUCUCACUAACUUCAUUUACUCUUUAUGUGCUGGUGAUGCCCAAAUUGGUAUCUCCAACCUAGUCCUUUCUGUUGAAUUUCAGACCCAUAUACCCAACACCCCAUUUGUCAUCUUGUAUGGAUUUUUCACAGGCAAACCCUAUACCCAGUCUGGUCUCCUCACCAAUCCAGUUGCUCAAGUCAGCAAAAAAGAAAUCAUUCUUAACUUUUCUCUUCACAUCCCACUUCCUCUAUGUAUUAUCCUAAAUAUCUCUUAAAUCCAUCACCUCUCUGCCCCCAACUGCCACCCCUCUAGUACAGGCCAAUGUUAUCUCAAGUAGAUUACCAGUCAAUUUCCUAACAGUUCUCCCUGACUUGCCCUUGGCAAUCCAUUAUCCUUGUAGACCAAAUGAGCUCUCUAAAAUGCAAAUGUGAUCAUGUCACAUAUAUUAGGUAAGCAUAUGCAUGUUACAAGUUACAGAAAUUCUAGCCCGUAUGGGUUUAAAUAAAAAGGACUUUUCUGUCUUAGCUGAACAUCUUAGGAGUAGUCUAGUUUCAGUUACAGCUUGAUCCAGGACACAGAUUAUAAUCUGUUACCAAGCUCUAUCUUGCAAUUCUGUCCUCUCUGAGUCAGCUUUAUAUUCAGGUUGCCACGUCCUGUGAUAGCAAGUUGGCUGUAGCAGUUUCUAAGUAUCAUAUGGUCACACUAGCCAAUCCAGCAAAAAAAAAAAAAGGGGGGGGGUACUUUCUCUGAAACUCCAGAAUUGGUCAUACUGUGUCAUAUUUGUCCACCCCUGAGCUACAUGCUAUGCCAAGAGGAUUGGACGUCCUAAAUACUCAGGCCAAUCCAAGGUCAAUUCAACACAAACUACAUUGGUUGACACAAGGGACAGAAUGAAGAAAAGGGGAAAUGAAUGAGCAACCAUCUUAAGUGACUAAGAACUCUUUAAUCACUCUUCAUUUUUUAAAAAAAUUUUUAAAUGUUUAUUUUUUGAAAGAGAGAAAGAGAGGGAGAGGGAGACACAGAAUCUGAAGCAGGCUCCAGGCUCUGAGCUGUCAGCACAGAGCCUGAUGCAGGGCUCAAACUCACAGACCACGAGAUCAUGACCUGAGCCAAAGUCGGACACAACCGAAUGAGCCACCCAGGUGCCCCCACCCUUCAUCACUCUUUUUUUUUAAUUUUUUUUUUCAACGUUUAUUUAUUUUUGGGACAGAGAGAGACAGAGCAUGAACGGGGGAGGAGCAGAGAGAGAGGGAGACACAGAAUCGGAAACGGGCUCCAGGCUCUGAGCCAUCAGUCCAGAGCCUGACGCGGGGCUCGAACUCCCGGACUGCGAGAUCGUGACCUGGCUGAAGUCGGACGCUUAACCGACUGCGCCACCCAGGCGCCCCCAUCACUCUUAACAUAAGGGCUACUGUCCUCAUCAGGGCCCUGCAAUGCCCUGCAUGAUAUGGUCUCUCUCACCUCCCUAGCCUCAUCUUUCCUGGUCAUUUUUUCCAACUCACAGGUCUGGUAAUGGUAAACUCUUUUCAAUUUCUCCUUCUUCUCUUUUCUCCUUCUUAUCCUUCUCCAUGUCUUCCUCCUCCUUUUUCUUCUCCUUCUCCUCCUUCUCCACCUCCUCCUCCUGCUGUUGCUUCUGCUUCUGCUUCUUUUACCUUAGAGAGCGAGUGAGUGGGGGAGAGGGGCAGAGGGGGAGAGGGAGAAACUUAAGCAGCCUCCAGACUCAGUGCAGAGCCUGAAGCAGGGCUUGAUCCCAUGGUCCAGGGAUCAUGACCUGAGCUGAAAUCAAGAGUCAGGUGUUCAAUCAACUGAGCCACCCAGGUGCCCCUCAUUUUGAUUUCUAAAUGAGUUUUUUUUUCUCUCUGAUCAUGAGAGGUUUUGUUUUUUUUUUUAAUGAGUUUUUUAAGCAUAUGUCAUUUCCUGAUGUUCAUGCUUAAUUUAGGUGGUAUAAUUGCUUAAUUUUAUGUGCCAACUUGGCUGGGCCAUGGUUCCCAGAUAGGUGAUCAAACAUUAUUCUGGAUGUUUCUAUAAGGGUGGUUUUAGAUGAGAUUAACAUUUAAAUCAGUGGGCCUUGAGUAAAGCAAAUUGCCCUCCAUGAUAUGGGUGGGCUUCAUCCAAUCAGUUGUAGGCCUGAGAACAAAAGACUGACCUCCCCUGAGCAAGAGGGAAUUCUGCCAGCAGACAGACUUCAGACCUGAACUGCAACAUCGUCUGUGUGGGUCUCCAGCCUGCAGACCCACCCUGCAGAUUUUGGAUUUGCCAGCAUCCAUAAUCAUGUGUGCCAAUUAAAAAAUAAUAAUAAAU
rnacentral:lncRNA from 1 species